AUGACGAUGGUAGGAGUCCGGUUCUGGCGGCCCAUGAGACCCUUGAGGAACGGGUACAAGUGCAUAAUCACCCACAUGGCGAAGAACACCUUGCCGAAAAGCGGCCCCCAUGACUCAUACCCGCUAUUGAGCGCGUCCGAGAACCCAGCCACCACGCCGACGAGGUUGAGCACAAGGAUUGUCGUAGGCGGGAUCAGCACCGUCGUCCACUUGAACACAUACAGUUCAGCGAAAUCACCGUCCUCCGCGGCCUUGCUCGUGACCGUGAAGUUGGUGUCAAGCCCGAUGACCAUCUUGAGGAUACCCUGGAACACGGCAAAGAGAUGA
rnacentral:rRNA from 1 species